UACAGGGGGUGCAAACGUUGCUCGGAAUCAUUGGGCGUAAAGCGCACGUAGGCGGUCUGUUAUGUCGGAUGUGAAAGCCCUUGGCUCAACUAAGGAAGUGCAUCCGAAACUGGCAGGCUGGAGUACUAAAGAGGGUCGCGGAAUUCCUGGUGUAGCGGUGAAAUGCGUUGAUAUCAGGAGGAACACCCAUGGCGAAGGCAGCAAACUGGGCAUCGAUCUGACGCUGAGGCGCGAAAGCGUGGGUAGCAAACAGG
rnacentral:rRNA from 1 species